rnacentral:misc_RNA from 1 species
UUUCCGUAGGUGAACCUGCGGAAGGAUCAUUAUCGUACAAAAUGUGAGGGGCAUGCGAGGGCUGUCGCUGACCCAAGAGUCGUGCACGCCCGAGUGUGUCCUCUUGCAUAAUAAUCCAUCUCACCCUUUGUGCAUCACCGCGUGGGCACCCUUCGGGAUCAUCUCGGAGGGGGGCUCGCGUUUUCACACAAACCCCCCUUUUAAAAGUGUAGAAUGACCACAUUUAUGCAAUCAAUACAACUUUCAACAACGGAUCUCUUGGCUCUU